rnacentral:rRNA from 1 species
CCAGUAGAACGCUGAAGAGGAGCUUGCUCUUCUGGAUGAGUUGCGAACGGGAGAGUAACGCGUAGGUAACCUGCCUGGUAGCGGGGGAUAACUAUUGGAAACGAUAGCUAAUACCGCAUAAUAUUGACUAUUGCAUGAUAGUCAAUUGAAAGGUGCAAAUGCACCACUACCAGAUGGACCUGCGUUGUAUUAGCUAGUUGGUGGGGUAACGGCUCACCAAGGCGACGAUACAUAGCCGACCUGAGAGGGUGAUCGGCCACACUGGGACUGAGACACGGCCCAGACUCCUACGGGAGGCAGCAGUAGGGAAUCUUCGGCAAUGGACGGAAGUCUGACCGAGCAACGCCGCGUGAGUGAAGAAGGUUUUCGGAUCGUAAAGCUCUGUUGUAAGAGAAGAACGAGUGUGAGAGUGGAAAGUUCACACUGUGACGGUAUCUUACCAGAAAGGGACGGCUAACUACGUGCCAGCAGCCGCGGUAAUACGUAGGUCCCGAGCGUUGUCCGGAUUUAUUGGGCGUAAAGCGAGCGCAGGCGGUUAGAUAAGUCUGAAGUUAAAGGCUGUGGCUUAACCAUAGUACGCUUUGGAAACUGUUUAACUUGAGUGCAGAAGGGGAGAGUGGAAUUCCAUGUGU